UACAGAGGGUGCAAGCGUUAAUCGGAAUUACUGGGCGUAAAGGGCGCGUAGGUGGUUGACUCAGUUAGAUGUGAAAGCCCCGGGCUUAACCUGGGAACUGCAUUUAAUACUGGUCGGCUUGAGUAGGGUAGAGGGAAGUGGAAUUUCCGGUGUAGCGGUGAAAUGCGUAGAUAUCGGAAGGAACACCAGUGGCGAAGGCGGCUUCCUGGACCCAUACUGACACUGAGGCGCGAAAGCGUGGGGAGCAAAC
rnacentral:rRNA from 1 species